rnacentral:tRNA from 1 species
UCCCUGAUGGCUCAGAUGGUAAAGAAUCUGCCUGCGAUGCAGGAGACCCAGGUUUGAUCCCUGGGUGGAGAA